rnacentral:rRNA from 1 species
UAAGCGAAUAGUGAAAUCUGGGGCUCAACCUCACAGACUAUUAUUCGAACUGGCAAACUCGAGAAUGGUAGAGGUAACUGGAAUUUCUUGUGUAGGAGUGAAAUCCGUAGAUAUAAGAAGGAACACCAAUGGCGUAGGCAGGUUACUGGACCAUUUCUGACACUGAGGCACGAAAGCGUGGGGAGCGAACGGGAUUAGAUACCCCGGUAGUCCACGCCGUAAACGAUGGAUACUA